GCUGGGAAGGUUUUUAAAUUUUAUUUAUUUAUUUAUUUUUGCUACUGCGUGUGAUUAUUAUAAUCUUUGAAAAUCAUUGUGCUAUUAUAUAAUAGAGCCGUCGCAAUUAUGUUUGAAAAGCAGAAGGUCCCUGGUGCUCUCAAUCAACUUGUCAGCCUACCUUAGCCUCAGAUUAUCUGUUUUCUCCCCUCCUCUGAAUAAAAUACAUACAGGGUACUUAUACUGUCAACUACUUCUCUGAACAAUCGAGUGACUGAUUGAAAAUUAUAGGCAGAUACAUUUACUUGUUCUCUAAGCACUUGGGAUUCAAAGCAAUUAUUUUAGAAUGCAAUGUUAGAAUAGCUCUUAUAUUCUGGCACUUAGUUUAUAAUAAUGUGAUGUUUGUCUUAGAGAAAAUAUUAUUUUGUAACCUGGAUAUAUCAGGAGGGAUGUUAUUUGAAUAGCCGUCUUUGCCUGUUGUAAAGAUGGCGAGUGUUAGAGUUACCAAGAAAAGAAACAAUGAAUGCCCAACAAAUGCAUACUGCAUUUUAAAAGAAUGUAGUAAUCUGACUCUGCUCUGGGUUUGAGGAAGUCGUUUACAAAAAUAAAACAUAGGUAGCAAAGGUAUAACAAUAAAAAAUGAUUCAUCAUAUUUAACUUUACUCCAUUUUACAUUAAUAAUAAAGGUUCCCAGGUUGAAUGGAAUUAGUCUACCAAACUGGGUUUCACAUCCUUUAUAAUAGUCUGAUUCCAUUUUUAUUCGGAUUAAAUAAGGUACAAUUUUGGGUACAGUACUCAGAAUCCAUGAAGAUCAGCUAAUAAAAUUUUAGGAUGUCUGGUUUGUAUAACACUAAUAUAUACCAUGUAACAAAUGUUAAAACACCUAUUUGUCUUCAACUAUGUACCCAGCAACCUAGAACUCUGGAAGAAUGAAAGAAGAGAAACACCUGUAUCCUACUUAAAAUUGUGUAGUAUCAACUGAGGGAGACAUGGAUGGAAAUGACAGCUAGAAGAGACCAAAUAAAAUGAGGCUGUAGCACUCCAAAUGAUAAUGAGGACUGUGAAGAUGAGGGUGUGAUCUUACCCAAGGAAGUGCUGGUGAGGUGCCAUCUGAACAAAGAUGACAGUGCAGUGAGGAAGUAAGCCUCAUGGAGCACAGGUGAAGCUGAGCCUGGUCGUGGUCCAAGUUUAUGCUGGACAGAGGUAUCAACUCAGGAGCACAUGAUGUAGGGGCAAAAAGAUAAUCCAUUUUUCAUAACCAUCACAAGGGGCAUGGCUGAUGUUUCUACAGCAAAGACAGCUUAGCAAGAGAAAACUUAUGAUUUUAUGCUAAGUCUAAUGAAAGAAAUGAAUACAUGUGACUAAAUAGAAUUGGAAUAAAAUAUAAUCUAACCGUAAUCAAUGGAAAGUGGUGGGGGUACUCAACAAGGCCUGUAUUUUUGGAUUCUUCUUGUUCCCUGUAUGUAGCAUUUCUUCCCUCCACAUAUAGGGCAGGGCACCUGUCAUAUGAAAGUCUAUCAGGGAGAAGGGAAAAGGUCAGUGAGUGAGCGUUGUAGGUUUCAAGGUUUGAUGUAGGAGAGGAUUUCAGUUUCUUUGACUCACCUGGCUGCAGGUCACAGGGCAGGGGAUUAGAGAAGAUCAGAAGGACCUUGUUUCUGAGGCCCUCUCAAUCUCCUUCAGUUCAAAAUACUCAGCAUUCCAAGGCGCCAUAUUUUAGAAUAUUAUGUUCUGACCCCCAGUGGUGUUGAAAUUUCCUUCUUUCUUGUUUUGACAAGAUGUGAAUUCAUAAGGAAACCAGUGUUUCCUAUCUUAUUAAAACCUUCCAAGAGCAUCUAAAAAUGAUAAAGCAUGUCGGAUUGUUUUUGGAGACUAGCAUAACACCAAGAAAAAAAACUUUCUUUAGCAGUUCUGAACAAUGAAAAACAAAGAACAGAAAUACACAAGUUUUGAGCAAAUGAAAGGAUCACAACUCCCAAUAUGAGAUUUUUUUUUUUAAUCUUGAAGAAAGUCUACAGGCAUAGCCUGUACUUUUUUGAUAUUUUUCUAUUAUAUAUUAUGUUUUCUCUGGGUUUCUAAUAUAAAUUUUAUUAAAAUAAGUAUUUUCUUUUUCUAUUCUUAGACGAUGCCUGAGAUGUUAUCAGAGAAAGGGGUCAAAAAUAUUUUUAUUCAGCUUUUGUACUUCUGUUCAACAUUGUCCUAAAGAGCACAGCUGAAAAAUAAACAAGCAAAAGAAAGGAGGGAGAGAGAGA